CUUCUCCACUCCUUGACCUCGGCUUGCUAAAACGGACUUCUACCUUCUCCACUCCUUGACCUCGGCUUGCUAAACGGACUUCUUCCUUCUCCACUCCUUGACCUCGGCUUGCUAAACGGACUUCUACCCCUCUCCACUACCAUUGGAUGUAAUUAACUCCUUCAGUUCCAGAACUGCCUCUUAAGUUAAGUAAUUGUUUCUACAAUCAAGCUACUCUCUGUUACUAAUAAGAGACUGUCUCUAAAGGCUCAUUACUGUGUCAUUUUCUCAAGUUACUCUCUGUUAUACAUAUGGAACUGCU